ensembl:lncRNA
GUUUCAACAGCAUUUUGUAAGUUAUCACGACUUAUUUCCUUCAGUUGUGAUGCACAACCUGUGCACAAACAAGUGAAAAAGUUCUGCCAACUCAUAUGUCCUUGUCGUAAAAUGCGGGAAUGCCAACUUUCCGAGUUGAGGUUUGUUACCUGAACUCACACGAGUCGUGUUUCAUCAGGGCUGGAGACAACACAGACAAAUUACAUAACAGCACACAGACAGACCGCAGCAUUGAAGGGCCUUAUUUUAUUUCUCUGUGAGAGUCACAAGAAGCUGUUCAGGAAUUGUCUGGAUACUGACCCAGAAGAGGAGAAGACAAGGGGUCUCAUUUUGGGGAUACUUUCUGUGAUGGAGGAUCAAAGUUCCGCUCCUGCAAGACUUCAAAACGUAGCUGUGGUUUUAGAAGAACAUAUCGUCUUACAAGACCUCCCUGACCUGCCAACGGCCCUUGCGUUGCUCUUUGGGCUGAUAUAUACGCCCUGAACAUCCAAAGGGCGUAUAUAUCAAUCAAUCAAUAAAACAUGAUCUGUGAGUUUGCGUGGGGUCUAAUUUGUGAGGACAAAAGAGAUAGAGUUAUAAACCCAACUGGUAUCCUAAUCGGAACAUACUGGGCCUGCUGAGAAGGAAUUGGACAAUGGGACAGCAUGUUCUACUCAAAUAUAACAACAAAUGCGGCUUCUGUUCAAAAGUGCAGAUAAGUUAGUUUGGUCAGGUAGUCUUUGAAUGUUACAAGCCGAAUAGCAGAUACAUUUCCCCCAUGCUUUUGAUUACUUUUGAGCGUACUUAUUAUGUAGCCUGUUCAUCCAGGCCUACUUGGCUGGACUGUUUCCAGCCAAGAAGGUUUUAAAUGUGCAUGGUGGAUCCCGUGACAGAAUAAGGGCUUCUCUGGAUUGCUUUUUUUCACAAACACAGUCUAUUUCAAUGAGCAUGUUGAGAAAUUAGAUUACGCAGUCCGUUGUAAAACCGCCAUACUGACUUUUGAUACUCUUCCUUUCUGUUUUUAUUACAGCAGGUGAGUCUUCUGUACUCUCCAUAUUGUCUGUGCUUACAACUCUGAGGUAGGCUUAUAACCUUAUAAAUGUAUCUGUCACCCUUAAGGUAUUUACAGUGCCUCUGGCAGCGAUACCCUUGUUGGUCUUCAUAAAUCUUCAUAGGUCAUCUAUCAAACCAUUGUUGACUGUUCCAUCGCUAAUGACACCAUAAAUGUCCUCAUCGUAUGUCGAUGUGAACCAAAGUCCAGUUUUAAAGAGACACCGUCACUUUGCACGCCUGCGGCCUCUCAUGGCCAGAGUGAGCAUCAGAGAGCAUUGGCUAUUUGGCUCUUUGAUAGGAUGAAGGGCGUCAAACCAACAUCAACAGCAAGGUGCCAAGUAUAUCUUACAAGUAUAUCUUUUACAUUUGAGCAUUUUUACAUUUUAUUUGAGCCUCACAAACUGUCUGUCAAUAUCUAAAAUUCCCAGCAGAUUAAUUCCAUCAAUUCUGAAUGUAUCCAAGGAAACUGGAAGUAUAUCCUAGUGGUCCCAGAUAAACCAUUCCAAGAUAGAAGAAGCUAAGGUUAACGCACUGCCUUUGUGCUUUUUUCCAGAGUUUGUUGACUGUUGCUAAACUAAUACAAUUGUAUAUAAGAACAGAUGACGACAAUGGUGAAUUGUUGCUUAUUGUAUUAAAAUUGUAAUUAUAUUUUAACAUUUUAUUUGGGCUACAUAUUUAGCUGUAGCCUGUAAGAACCAACGUUAAAACAGAUGUUCCCCUGAAAUAAUCCCCAGACACCCAAGAGAAUUCAAAAUGACGAUAUAUAAAAACUAAUAUAUACAUGCAUUGACAUGAAACAUCCUGUCAAACUAUGGCCUUCGAGCUCUGUAUUUGCGUAUUAUUUAAAUUAUAUAUUAAAUUAUAUUUUGAAAAUGUAUGGCAUUGAAGUCAGAUGUUUCUUCAAGGGAGGCAUUGAUAGCAGGAAAUCAUAGAACUCUUUGAAAUGCCCAAUAGAGCAAAGGUCAUCAAACCUACUAUUAAAACAUUAAUCAACCCUCCUCAAAUCUUUCCAGUGUACUUCAGCAGACCAAAGAUACCGCCACC